rnacentral:rRNA from 1 species
AUUGAACGCUGGCGGCGUGCCUAACACAUGCAAGUCGAGCGGUAACAGGUGUAGCAAUACAUGCUGACGAGCGGCGGACGGGUGAGUAACGCUUGGGAAUCUGCCUAUUAGUGGGGGACAACCCGGGGAAACUCGGGCUAAUACCGCAUACGCUCUACGGAGGAAAGCCGGGGACCGCAAGGCCUGGCGCUAAUAGAUGAGCCCAAGUCGGAUUAGCUAGUUGGUAGGGUAANGGCCUACCAAGGCGACGAUCCGUAACUGGUCUGAGAGGACGACCAGUCACACCGGAACUGAGACACGGUCCGGACUCCUACGGGAGGCAGCAGUGGGGAAUAUUGGACAAUGGGCGAAAGCCUGAUCCAGCGACGCCGCGUGGGUGAAGAAGGCCUGCGGGUUGUAAAGCCCUUUCAGUGGGGAAGAAAAGCCUCGACCUAACACGUCGGGGUCUUGACGUAACCAUAGAAGAAGCACCGGCUAACUCUGUGCCAGCAG